AUGUUAGUAGGAGUAUUGUACGUUCCUCAAUUUUUUUCUUCUCAUUUUUUAAAUUGCAGUUCUUCAGAACAAAAGGAAAAAUGGCGUUCUUACCUUCAAAGGUACAUCAUGCUAGCCAAAGAGAAGGAGCAGCCAAAAAGCAUUCUCCUCAAAAUCUUCACUGAGAACAUCAAGAACUGUGCCUGUGUGAGUAUUUUUAAGACCAACAAUUAAAUUCUGAGUUCCUAAUUCUGACUGAAUGAAAAAGAUGGAGAUAGAGGUGGAGACACAGAGAGGGAGGAAGCAGUGAGUUGGGGAGAGAAGAAAGAGAGAGCAAAAGGUAGGAAGAGAGAGAGAAUAUUUAGAAAAGUACCAUGAGGAAAAAUGUAUUUUCCCCCUCUCCAUGUACUGCUUUAUAGACCUAAAAACUGCGUCCUAGGUAAUAUGAAGCAAGAGGAAUACAUACUACAGUGCUUAAGCAAGGAAAGAGUAUCGGAUGUUAAGUGUCUAUAACAUUUCUCUGGAUCCUUCUAAUUGCUUAUAGUGGCUUGUAAUACAGUGAUUUAGAAUCAACCAUUUUUUCCCCAGUGGCCACCACUUACAUACAGAAUGGUCUGGAUUGUCUCCACAGUCC
rnacentral:lncRNA from 1 species